GACGUAGGGCGCGAGCGUUGUCCGGAUUUAUUGGGCGUAAAGAGCUCGUAGGCGGCUCGUUGCGUCGGCUGUGAAAACCCGCAGCUCAACUGUGGGCUUGCAGCUGAUACGGGCGGGCUGGGAUUCGGUAGGGGAGACUGGAAUUCCUGGUGUAGCGGUGAAAUGCGCAGAUAUCAGGAGGAACACAGGUGGCGAAGGCGGGUCUCUGGGCCGAUAUCGACGCUGAGGAGCGAAAGCGUGGGGAGCGAACAGG
rnacentral:rRNA from 1 species